rnacentral:snRNA from 1 species
GUCCCCUUUGGGGUGACAUACAAAAAAAUUGGAACGAUACAGAGAAGAUUAGCAUGGCCCUUGCACAAGGAUGACAUGCUUUCCUGGAGUGGUAGAUCUAUGGAUCUCAAUAUUUAU